rnacentral:rRNA from 1 species
UGAGUAACACGUGGGAAAUCUGCCUAAGAGUGGGGGAUAACAUUCGGAAACGGAUGCUAAUACCGCAUAUAUUCUUGAACCGCAUGGUUCUGGAAAGAAAGACGGCUUUGCUGUCGCUUUUAGAUGAUCCCGCGGCGUAUUAGUUAGUUGGUGGGGUAACGGCCUACCAAGACCAUGAUACGUAGCCGACCUGAGAGGGUGAUCGGCCACACUGGGACUGAGACACGGCCCAGACUCCUACGGGAGGCAGCAGUAGGGAAUCUUCCACAAUGGGUGCAAACCUGAUGGAGCAAUGCCGCGUGAAUGAAGAAGGUCUUCGGAUCGUAAAGUUCUGUUAUUAGAGAAGAACAAGUCGAGGAGUAACUGUCUCGACUUUGACGGUACCUAACCAGAAAGUCACGGCUAACUACGUGCCAGCAGCCGCGGUAAUACGUAGGUGACAAGCGUUGUCCGGAAUUAUUGGGCGUAAAGGGAGCGCAGGCGGUUGGAAUAGUCUGAUGUGAA